UAUGACCCCGUCAACUUUGGCCCGUGAACCCCGUCAGGCCCGGAAGGGAGCAGCGGUAGCGGACACCAGAGUGUGGCGGGGUCGCCCUU
rnacentral:SRP_RNA from 1 species